UACGGAGGGUGCAAGCGUUGUUCGGAAUCACUGGGCGUAAAGCGCACGUAGGCGGCCGAUCGUGUCGAAUGUGAAAGCCCUCGGCUCAACCGAGGAAGUGCAUUCGAAACUGGUCGGCUUGAGUCCGGUAGAGGAGGGUGGAAUUCCGGGUGUAGAGGUGAAAUUCGUAGAUAUCCGGAGGAACACCGGUGGCGAAAGCGGCCCUCUGGGCCGGUACUGACGCUGAGGUGCGAAAGCGUGGGGAGCAAACAGG
rnacentral:rRNA from 1 species